ACGUAGGGUGCGAGCGUUAAUCGGAAUUACUGGGCGUAAAGCGUGCGCAGGCGGUUCGCUAAGACAGGUGUGAAAUCCCCGGGCUUAACCUGGGAAUGGCGCUUGUGACUGGCGGGCUGGAGUACGGCAGAGGGGGGUGGAAUUCCACGUGUAGCAGUGAAAUGCGUAGAGAUCCGGAGGAACACCAGAGGCGAAGGCGACACCCUGGGCCGUACCUGACGCUAAGACGCGACAGCACGGGGAGCGAACGG
rnacentral:rRNA from 1 species